UCACUCAGUGGCGUCCUAUUUAAGAUUGCAUGGGAUUUUUUGGUUUCUUUUUCUACUUCUGUUCAUACUCUAUCAGAUGGCCCAUACCUCUUGGCAUGUUUGACUUUGGUCUGCAUGUUGUGGAUAUACCGACAGCUCGGUUUCUGGAAAGUUUACUAUAGCUACCUCUGGUAGCUUGUGUUCCCAUGGCUGGCUCCAAGAUGCUAAUUGUUUGGGGAGGAAGGUUGCGGCAGUAAGAGCCAGAGGGAGCCAGCCAACCAUGAAGAUCAAUCUCUCAGUUUCGGUCUCAUCAGAGAACUUUUUACUGAGCCCCGUUAGCUAAUUAUCCGUCAGUGCUGAGCGGCAGACCCUGGUCCCUCGUGCGCGCGGAUACACAGCAGGGGGUUGUGAAAUUACCUGAUAAAACCCCCAGCAGGAGAGGACUGCGACACUUACUGAAGCAAACUCCGUAGUCAAACUGCCUGCUAAAGAAACAAGAAGAUUGAGGAGGGGGUGUCUGCGUGGGUGGACAGUGAAGGAACCAACCCAUCUCUUCACCCAUCCCAUCCUGUUAAAAACUGAACGAUUUUUCCAUCACUCGCAAGGAGCUCCAUCCAUCACACUGCCUUUCAUGCCCGCUUGCCCUUAUCCCUCCCAUCCCCCACCCACCUUGUGAGAUUCCCCUUCCCCAUAAUGAGAGGGGGAACGAGGGCCACAGAUCUCAAAGUCUCGUCCUGAAGACCCAAACGUUUCAGUUUUUGUUCUAGCUCUGAUCACUAAUCAUGGUCUUCCACGGUCCUUCACUCAAGGUCACCUGUCUGAUCAAAUCCUGAAAGUAGAAUCAAAUAUUGUUGGGAUUGUGCUCUUAUGUAAAAUCACUGAGCACUAGAGGGCAAUAGAGACUACAAUCCUCACAAAAGGACCCACACCUUGAAACACAGUGGAGAAAGGCAAAACGAUUCCGUAACGUUAACACAAAAAUGACCCAGUGGGCUUGCUGUUUCGAGUCUGUGUCAACCAUUAUUGUCUAAAACAAUAAUGGUACAUUUCAUUAAGUGUUUUGAUUGCACAUUAUAACUAAGGUAAAUGUUUUCCAUUCAUACUGAGUGCCAAAUGAAUCCCAAUCCUGAACCACUCUCUUGAGAAGCAGAGAGGAUUUGUGAAUUGAAACUACAUGCUACUGUAUAUGGAUGACAAUUACAGUAAGAUCUAAUUGUUAUCUGUCUUUUCUUUAUCAAAUAUCUUAAGAUGAU